rnacentral:rRNA from 1 species
CAGUGAGAUUGAGUGUUAGGCAAAUCCGGCACUCUUAAGAUUGAGCUGUGAUGGGGAGAGGAAAUUGUUUCCUCGAGUCGUUGAUUUCACACUGCCGAGAAAAGCCUCUAGAUAGAGAUUAGGUGCCCGUACCGCAAACCGACACAGGUAGUCAAGAUGAGAAUUCUAAGGUGAGCGAGCGAACUCUCGUUAAGGAACUCGGCAAAAUGACCCCGUAACUUCGGGAGAAGGGGUGCUCUUUAGGGUGCAAGCCCAGAAGAGCCGCAGUGAAUAGGCCCAAGCGACUGUUUAUCAAAAACACAGGUCUCUGCUAAACCGUAAGGUGAUGUAUAGGGGCUGACGCCUGCCCGGUGCUGGAAGGUUAAGAGGAGUGGUUAGCUUCUGCGAAGCUACGAAUCGAAGCCCCAGUAAACGGCGGCCGUAACUAUAACGGUCCUAAGGUAGCGAAAUUCCUUGUCGGGUAAGUUCCGACCCGCACGAAAGGCGUAACGAUUUGGGCACUGUCUCAACGAGAGACUCGGUGAAAUCAUAGUACCUGUGAAGAUGCAGGUUACCCGCGACAGGACGGAAAGACCCCGUGGAGCUUUACUGUAGCCUGAUAUUGAAAUUCGGCACAGCUUGUACAGGAUAGGUAGGAGCCUUUGAAACGUGAGCGCUAGCUUACGUGGAGGCGUUGGUGGGAUACUACCCUAGCUGUGUUGGCUUUCUAACCCGCACCACUUAUCGUGGUGGGAGACAGUGUCAGGCGGGCAGUUUGACUGGGGCGGUCGCCUCCUAAAAGGUAA